rnacentral:rRNA from 1 species
AUGACACUUGCGGCAGCCUGGCUCCUAAAAGCUGCACAAUGGAUUGCCGGUGCAGGCGAGCCACUUCGUGCUCUCUGGCCAGUUCACCUACUCUUGCCCAUUGUUCUUCCAACCGUUGCGGCUGCCGUCUACCUUGCACAUCGCCCUAGAGCCACAUACCUUGUUGACUAUGAUUGCUUCCGGCCUAGCCCUAACUAUCGAUUGCCAAAGGCGGCCUUACUCGAGCAUGCACGUAUGUCGACCUUCCUUGCCGAUUCUACCAUUAAAUUCAUAACACGAGUUCUUGAGCACUCCGGCCUUAGUGAAGAGACUUGUGUUCCACCUGCACUUUCUUACAUUGAGCCAAAUUGUAGUCUGGAUGAAGCCCGCGCCGAGGUAGAACUAGUCAUCUUCUCAGUGAUCGAUGACCUACUGGCUAAGACGAGGAUUAACCUUGAUGCGAUCGAUAUUCUAAUCACCAACUGCAGUGUCUUUUUACCAGUUCCGUCAAUUGCCGACAUGAUUGUCAACAGUUACAAGCUGCGAGGUGACCUCCGCGUCAUCAACAGUAACUGCAGUGGGGCUCGCAAGGAACAUCUUGGAGGUCAUGCCUUUUGGAUCAUAUGCGCUAGUGGUGUCGACGGAGACCAUUGGACCCAAUCACUACGCGGGUAA